rnacentral:rRNA from 1 species
UACGUAGGGUACAAGCAUUAAUCGGAAUUAUUGGGCGUAAAGGGCGCGUAGGCGGAAAUAUAAGUCAGAUGUGAAAUACCAAAGCUCAACUUUGGUGCUGCAUUUGAAACUGCAUUUCUAGAGGAUUGACGGAGAAAGCGGAAUUCCACGUGUAGCGGUGAAAUGCGUAGAUACGUGGAGGAACACCGGUGGCGAAAGCGGCUUUCUAGUUUUUACCUGACGCUGAGGCGCGAGAGCAAGGGGAGCAAACAGG